GCACCAUUCCCGUGGCCCGGCCACGCUUUGCUAUUCUUGCACUCACACAUUCCUCUCUUUAUUCUAGGAUUAAACAAGUGGAGAAGGCUAACGAGGCUCUGGGCAUUGACUCGUUGCUCGUUACCGAUGAGCUUUUCAGGCAUCAGGAUGUGGCAACGCGCAGCCGAUACGUGAGACUUGUGGAUAGUGUGAGGGAAAAUGGCGGAACAGUGAGGAUCUUCUCCAGCCUCCAUGUCUCCGGAGAGCAACUGAACCAGCUGACAGGUGUAGCUGCCAUAUUACGUUUCCCAGUGGCUGAUUUGUCAGAGGAUGAAUCCAGUUCAGACAACGACUAGUGCCCCCCCUUGUCUGUCUCUUGCAAUAACAACUGAACUCUGA